rnacentral:rRNA from 1 species
GACGAACGCUGGCGGCGUGCUUAACACAUGCAAGUCGAACGGAAAGGCCCUGCUUUUGUGGGGUGCUCGAGUGGCGAACGGGUGAGUAACACGUGAGUAACCUGCCCUUGACUUUGGGAUAACUUCAGGAAACUGGGGUUAAUACCGGAUAGGAGCUCCUGCAGCAUGGUGGGGGUGGGAAAGUUUCGGCGGUUGGGGAUGGACUGGCGGGUAAUCAGCUUGUUGGUGGGGUAGUGGCUUACCAAGGCAUUGACGGGUAGCCGGCCUGAGAGGGUGACCGGGCACAUUGGGACUGGGGUACGGCCCAGACUGCUACGGGGGGCAGCAGUGGGAAAUAUUGCACAAUGGGCGGAAGCCUGAUGCAGCGACGCCGCGUGCGGAAUGACGGCCUUCGGGUUGUAAACCGCUUUCGCCUGUGACGAAGCGUGAGUGACGGUAAUGGGUAAAGAAGCACCGGCUAACUACGUG